UGUAAGUAUGUGUGUGUGUUUGUGUAUGAGUAUGUGUGUGUGUGUGUGUGUGUAAGGAUGUGUGUGUGUUUGUGUAUGAGUGUGCACUUCUCUUUACUGCCGAGGGCCACAGCACCUUGAGUGUUUUUGGCGUGUGCUUCACACCACAUAAGUCAUCCUGCUGGCACGAGUGCCAAUGUGUGUCAGCACCCAGAGAUGGAGCCAGUUAGUGGGGAGGCCUAAUUACUCACGCCCAGGCAACAGAUGCCGCAGUGGGCAGGAGACACAGCACAAGCUUAGGAAGGGGGGUGGGGGCGUCUGUGAACUUUAGGGUUGAGAAAUGAAUUCAUUGAUCCAUUGUUUUAACAGUGAAAAAAGAGACUCAAACACCAUAGGAGAUAUUCAUGUGAUUGUCAAACUUUUAUUUUAAAGCUUUAUGAAUUUAAAUAAAAACUAAAUAAAAUCACCUUUUCUCUUUAGUGUGUUCACUGUAAAAUGACAUGACUGAAUUUGAAAGAAGAGUUAUUAGAAAUGAAACAAAUGUAAACAUCACUGGAAAAAUUAUAUUACAUAUUAAAGGGCCCAUAUUAUACUCGUUUGUUUUCGACAAGUUUACAUGGGUCUAUGAGUUCCACAAAACAUGAACAUAUUUUUUUCUUUUUCUUUUUUCUUUUAUUUAUUAUUUUAUUUCUAUUUACCCAUGUGUGUUUUUACCAUAUUCCUGUUAUUAUCUGCACAAUAUGUUUGUAUGUCUUACUGAAUAUCCUGGCAAUGUAAACAGGGACACGAUAUGUGCAUACAGUUUGUUUUAUGGAUUUGCUGUGGAUUAUCAAUAAAGUCAAAGUUUAAAAAAUAAAUAAAAAAACAGAGGACAGAUCCACUGAGAGGCGUUCUCUCGGUCCUGAUUUCCCCUGAGGCGCUUCACACUCCCUGUGGAUUCAUCGGUGACCACAUCUACAUUUGCCCAGGAUGCAGGGAUGCAGGGAUGGGAGGAUGCAGGGAUGCAGGAUGCAGUUUACAGGGAUGGGAGGAUGCAGAGAUGGGAGGAUGCAGAGAUGCAGGGGUGUUUCUACAGAGGUGCUUGCUCAGAUGACCUUGGCUGGCCUUAAUCCAAAUAAUCCCCAAAUGAGCAGAACCCAGCUGCUGACAGCCCUGCACUCACUGC
ensembl:lncRNA